UACGAAGGGGGCUAGCGUUGCUCGGAAUCACUGGGCGUAAAGCGCACGUAGGCGGAUCUUUAAGUCAGAUGUGAAAGCCCUGGGCUCAACCCAGGAACUGCAUUUGAAACUCCCUUUCUUGAGUGUCGGAGAGGAAAGCGGAAUUCCUGGUGUAGAGGUGAAAUUCGUAGAUAUCAGGAGGAACACCGGUGGCGAAGGCGGCUUUCUGGACGACAACUGACGCUGAGACGCGAAAGCGUGGGGAGCAAACAGG
rnacentral:rRNA from 1 species